rnacentral:rRNA from 1 species
AUUGAACGCUGGCGGCAUGCUUUACACAUGCAAGUCGAACGGCAGCACGGGUGCUUGCACCUGGUGGCGAGUGGCGAACGGGUGAGUAAUGCACCGGAACGUACCCAGUAAUGGGGGAUAACGCACCGAAAGGUGUGCUAAUACCGCAUACGCCCUGAGGGGGAAAGCGGGGGAUCGCAAGACCUCGCGUUAUUGGAGCGGCCGAUGCCGGAUUAGCUAGUUGGUGGGGUAAAGGCCCACCAAGGCGACGAUCCGUAGCUGGUCUGAGAGGACGACCAGCCACACUGGGACUGAGACACGGCCCAGACUCCUACGGGAGGCAGCAGUGGGGAAUUUUGGACAAUGGGGGCAACCCUGAUCCAGCCAUGCCGCGUGAGUGAAGAAGGCCUUCGGGUUGUAAAGCUCUUUCGCAAGGAAAGAAAUCUUACCUUCUAACAUAGGGUGAGGAUGACGGUACCUUGAUAAGAAGCACCGGCUAACUACGUGCCAGCAGCCGCCGUAA